GUUGAUCAACCUAAUAAAUGAACAUUACAACAGUAGCAUGUUAUACAUGAAAAUAUAAAUGGAUUUUCUCUCCAUUUCUUCAGCCGCCUCAGCAAAACCCUAGCCCAAAAUCGCGCCGCUCCACCAUCUCCGCCUACAAAACUUCGCCGUUGACGGCGAUGCUGACCACACCGCACCACAAAUCAGCGACAACUUCUUCUACUCACCGGUAGUUUAUACUCCAUGUAAACUCAUCGCUGAUCAACACCACCCGACAGACGGAACCUUAAAUCUCCCCCACACAUCGACGAAAUCGGUGAGCUUCAUCGACGACGACGUAUUUACCCAAACCCAGGCCAAAAUCGGCGACGACUUCACCUAUUCCAAACAAUCAGGAAAAAACCACCGACCCAGAGACGACACCGUAGCCCUAGAUCUCGACUCCUCCACUGAGGAAAACGGUGAAAAAACCACCAUCUACGCCGGACGACAUUCUUUCCAUCACCCGAGAAAGCUUCAAAAUUGUGAAAGAGAUGAACAAUGCUUCCAAAUUAGUACCAACACGGUCCAAGAAGGAAAACAAACCGAAGAAGCAUUCAAAAAAUUAAAAUGGAACAGAGCGUUGGCUCGUCAGAGUAAAGAGCUCAGCCUCCGGUAUUGGCCCUCAGAUAUAUCAAUUGAGCUUUUCGACAAUGUACUAUUGUAUCAUCUAAUCAUGUUCCAAGAAAAACAACCAAUGUUUGUCCCCAUUUUAUUACUUUUCUCGCCAAAAGUGCACCUAGUGGCAUUCUUGUGCCACUGUCAUUUCCGUCUCCAAUAAAUGAUUCAAAAACCCAAACACAUUGCACCUUGAUGAUAGUAUUUGCACAUCUAGGAUGAAGACUAUGGAUCGAAGUAAUGAAAGGGAAUGAUAUCAAUUUACAAAAAGUAUUGCAGCAUUGUGAUCUACACGUACGGAAAGUCAAAAGUUGCAGACAAAGAACCAUUAUAGCAUAGCAAAGAUGAUCUAAAAGAAUAGAAAUCAUGAAGGAGCCACGACAGGAACAAAAAUUAGAUAGCAAUAGAAGCAAUCACAGAGUAAAGGGAGCUUGCUGAGUGAUUAUGAAGGGUUAGGGCAGGGUAUUUAAAGAACACAACUGGAGAGCAUGCUGGUUAAUAAAUGUGCAGGUUCCCAAAAAAGCACAAUCUUGAGAACCUGUACGGAGGACUUUUACAUCUCUGGGGAGAGCUAUGCAGACAAUCACAUUAAUGGAUUGCAAGUAGAAAUAAAAGAAAAAGGAACAAAGAUUGCCUAGAAACUGAAAAAAGGGAUAGGCAGUACAAAAAUCUCAGAUAAAGCAGCCAUUCAAGGAUCAGAGAAAUGGAAGCAUUGACAGAUUCAAGUAUCAGGUCAAAGAUCUUCCAAAGAAGGAAGCAAAAGAAUCAGUUGAAGAUUUGCAGAAAUUAAAAAAGUUGCAUUUUGCAAUUUUUAUUGUAUUCUAUUUGUAUAUAGGAGUUGUCUAUUGGAAUAGGCCUAGUUACAUUUUGCAGUUUUUAUUGUAUUCUAUUUGUAUGUAGGAGCUGUCUAUUGGAAUAGGCCUGCACCUAUACCUUAAUUGUGUGUUACCGAGAAUAGGGGUAAGAAGUGCUUCAGAAGGUAGUUGUCAAGCAUUGCAAACUGAUUUUAAAAUAAGAUCUGAAAGUUAAACUCAUAAAA